rnacentral:lncRNA from 1 species
AUGUUCUGGGAAGCAGCCCUCACAAAUGUAGCCAAUGUAGGACAAGCAGUAAUCUGGGAAAUUGUAAUGUAAGAUCACAUAAUGGCAGUGGCUUUUGAAUGAUAAGGUAACUGAUAAGGACUAUUAAGAAAGGAACACAGGAGACUAAAAAUCUGAAAGAUUUCCUCUAACACUGCCCAAAAAGAGUGUGAUCUGAUUUUAGAUGAAUUGUACUGGUUCUUUGGACUAAAAUAUCCCUCCAGCAGAGAAAGGCAAUUCAUCAAGCAACCAGAGCUAGAAAGUAAUUCUCUGAAAGAACAUCCGGCUGCCCUGGCUCGUGGUCUUUGCUUACCCAGAAGAGAAUCUGCAAUUUGGCCAUCUGAGUGCUGUUGACCAGCAUGGGUUCUUUUAGUGAUGAUCCUGCUGGGAGAUAAUAUGGGAUAUUGGUUUAUCAAUCACUCUCUGAAACCCAGCAUGUCCAUCUAGUUCUAAAGCUCCAAAGAACAGAAGUUUAAAAGAGCAUAGGUGUGUGUUUGAGCAAGAAUCUUGCAAAAGCAUUCCUAAGUGUAGCCUCAGUGUGAGGAUCUCAAACUUACUGUGAAGGAGAGUUAUCAAGGAAAAGCUGCAAUCUCUUCAGACCUCUAUCAUCAAAAAGGAGGCCCAGUGCAUUAUUGCA